GGCCCAGAUAAGGGCAAGGGUCCAUAACAUUAUUAUGGAAAAACAAAAAUGGAAAAAGAAUUGUUGAACUGUGGAAUAUGUUUAUGCCCCUGGUAGGGUGGCAUAUAGCAGUUGAACUGUCCGUCAGUCAGUCAGUCUGUCCAUCUGGCCGAAAACUUAUAUGGCCAUAACUUUUUCAAUAUUGAACAUAGCAACUUGAUAUUUAUACCCCUAUUACAAUUGGUAAUGGGGGCUAUAUAGGAGUCACGUUUGUCGGUCUGUCCCGAUAUUUCAUCCGAUCUUCACCAAACUUGGUCAGUAGUUGUAUGUAGAUAAUGUCUAGAUCAAGUUUGAAUAUGGGUCAUGCCAGGUCAAAAACUAGGUCAUGGGGUCACUUAGUAUGUUUUAAACUGUAAGUUUGUACGGACCAUAGCUAUGUUAUUUAUCGUUACAUUUUUAAAUGACUCGGUACAUUUGUUCACCAUCAUGGAACGGUGUGUCGCGUUAAAAGAAAUUACGUCAAUAUCUCAAAGGUCAAGGUCACACUUGGGAGUUCAAAGGUCAAAUGCUUGUCCGGGCCAUAGCUUUGUUUUUUAUUGUGAGAUUUUAAAAUCAUUUGGCACAUUUGUUCACCAUCAUUGAACAGUGUGUCGGGCGAAAGAAUUACGUCGAUAUUUCCAAGAACAAGGGCACAAUUUGAGUUUAAAGGUAAAAAAUGGCCAUAAUUGAGCUUGUCUGGGCAAUAACUAUGUUGUUUAUUGUGCGAUUUUAAAAUCGUUGGCUCUUUUGUUCACCAUCAUUUGACAGUGUGUCGCGCGAAAGAAUUACGUCGAUAUCUUCAAACUCAAAGUUGUAGUUUUAGUUCAAAGGUCAAAAAUGGCAAUAAAUUAUCUUGUCUGGGCCAUAAAUAUGUCAUUCAUUGUAAGAUUUUAAAAUGACUCUGUACAUCAAUUUUGUUCAAAGUCAUUGGAAGGCUUGUCAUGUGAAACAAUUCAAGAGUUCAAAGGUAAAAAUGGCUAUAAAUGAUAAUGGCAUAAUGAUUCUUAAAAAAUCGCCAUAAAUUGUAUUAUCUUGUUUUGUGAAGACAGCAUACAAAAUAGUCUGUGUCAAUGCGUUAUGUGGGGGUAUAUGUCACGUCUGUGACAAAGCUCCAGUUGGCAUGCAUGUGCAUCUUGUGAAGCUGCACAUAUUGAGUGGUGAAAAGUGAAGGUCAAGGUAAUCCUUCAAGGUUAAAUGUUAAAUAUAUUGCUUCUGUCCGUCCGUCUGAAAACUUUAAAAUUGGCCAUAACUUUUGAGCUCACCUGAGUGCAACAUGCUCAUGGUGAGCUUUUGUGAUUGCCUUUUGUCCGUUGUGCGUUGUAUGUCGUCAACAUUUUGCCUUGUGAACACUCUAGAUGCCACAUUUAUUGUCUGAUCUUCAUGAAAUUUUGCAGAACAUUUGUCACAUUGAUACCUCGACUGAGUUCGAAACUGGGUCAUGCUGGGUCAAAAAUUAGGUCACUAGGUCAAAAAAACAACAAAAAAACUUGUGAACACUGUAGAAGUCCAAUCUUCAUGUAACUUUGUCAAAAUGUUUGUCUAAAUGAUAUUUUGGUUUAGUUAAAAAUUGGUUCCGGUCCGUUGAAAAACAUGGCCGCCAGGGGCGGGGCAGUUUUCCUUAUAUGGCUAUAGAGAAACCUUGUGAACACUUUAGAAGUCAAAAUGUUUGCCUAAUCAUCAUGAAACUUGGUCAAAACAUUGGUUUUAUUUAUAUUUUGGACGAGUUUGAAAAUGGUCCAGAUCAGUGAAAAAACAUGGCCGCCAAGGGGCGGGGGAGUUUUCCUUAUGUCUUUAGUUAAACAUUGCUAACACUCUAGAGGCCACAUUUAUUGUCCAUUCUUCAUGAAAUUUGGUCAGAAGUUUGGUCUCAAUGAUAUCUUAGACGAGCUGAAAAUGGUUACGUUUGCUUGAAAAACAUGGCUGCCAAAGGGCGGGGCAUUUUUCCUUAUAUGGCUAUAUAUGGCUAUAGUAAAAUCUUAACACUCUUGAGGCCACAUUUAUUUUCCGAUCUUCAUGAAACUUGGUCAGAAUAUUCAUCCCAAAAAAUAUCGUAGACAAGUUAAAAAAUGAUGCUGGUUGGUUGAAAAACAUGUCCGCCAGGGGGUGGGGCAUUUUACCUUAUAUGGCUAUAGUAAAACUUUGUUAACACUCUAUAGGCCACAUUUAUUUUCUUAUCUUCAUGAAACUUGGUCAGAAGAUUUGUCCUAAUGAUAUCUUGGAUUAGUUCAAAAAUAGUUUCGUUUGCUUAAAAAACAUGGCCACCAGGGGGCGGGGCAUUUUUCCUAAUAUGGUUAUGUAUCAUGCUUUACUAAAACAUUGUAAACACUCUGUAGGCCACAUUUAUUUUCCGAUUAUUAUGAAACUUGGUCAGAUGAUUUGUCCUAAUGAUAUCUUGGAUGAGUUCAAAAAUGGUUCUAGUUGGUGGAAAAACAUGGCCACUAAGGGGGCGUGGUAUUUUUCCUUAUAUGGCUAAAGUAAAACCCUGUUAAAACUCUAGAAGCCAUAUUUAUUGUACGAUCAUCAUGACACUUUGUCAGAAGAUUUGUCCCAAUGAUAUUUGGACAAGUUUGAAAUUGGUUCCAGUUGCUAAGAAAAACAUGGCCACCAGUGGGCGGGGCAUUUUUCCUUAUAUGGACUUAUGAAUCUUCUUGAAACUUUGUCAGUAUAUUAGUUUAAAUGAUAUCUUGGAUGUGUUUUUCACGUUGACAUUUGAAGCUUUAACUUUGUAUGAUUCUAAAUAUGUGUCAAUGCUGUCAGUUGAAUUUUGAAAUAUGAAGUUUUACAUUUUUGUAGAUUAAAUAAUUUGUAAAAUGUUGCAGUUUCGUCAAUCAGUUUUAUAAGAUAUUGAGCUUUAAAUAUGAUGCAGAUUGUAAGAUUCUUAAUAUCUUUCAAUAUUGUGGAUAAGUUUUUGAGAUAUCAAGCUUUGAGUUUUAUGCAAAUUGUAUGAUUUUAAAAUGUUUUAAUGGUGUUGAUCAGUGUAAUGAAGAUUGCAUAAUUUUUAUGUUUUAAUUCUGUCUAUUGGUUUUCAAAUGAAAGACUUUGAUUUUGUAAGUGCACUUUUAUCUCCUGAAAGAUUCUUUUCUAGUGUUUAGUUUAUAUUUUAAGGCUGUUUGCAAACUCGAAGUGAAAACAGUUCUAUUACAAUUUGGUAAGGACAUGACAUUGCAUAUCUGAUUUUAAAAUGUACUUUGCUGGCAACGUGUAAUUUUCUGAAAUGUCUUAGUAAGACUGUUGUUUGCAAUCAAAAGGUCUGUGCUUCAAAUACAGGGUAAUGCAUGUUUUUUGUCCAAAUUUAUGGCGAUUCAGACAUUGUUCUAUGUAAAUUUGGGGUUUGCUUGAAGGUUCAGUCUAUUUUUAUGUCCCUCACUAUAGUAGUGGGGGACAUAUUGUUUUUGUCCUGUCUGUUGGUUGGUUGGUUGAUCUGUUUACGCCAACUUUAACAUUUGCAAUAACUUUUGCAAUAUUGAAGAUAGCAACUUGAUAUUUGGCAUGCAUAUGUAUCUCAUAGAGCUGCACAUUUUAAUUUUCUGAAAGGUCAAGGUCAGAGGUCAAAUAUAUGUGGCCAAAAUCGCUCAUUUUAUGAAUACUUUUGCAAUAUUGAAGAUAGCAACUUCAUAUUUGGCAAGCAUGUGUAUCUCAUGGAGCUGCACAUUUUGAGUGGUGAAAGGUCAAGGUCAUAAUUCAAUGUCAUAGGUCGAAUAUAUGGCUUCAAAGCGGCGCAGUAAGGGGGAUUGUGUUUUACGAACACAGCUCUUGUUGUUAACUGCCUUUUUAUUCCCUUACCAGUGUUUCACUAAAGUCCGUGUACUUUGGACUCAUUUCAAGUUGACAUUUGAAGCUUUAACUUUGUAUGAUUCUAAAUAUGUGUCAAUGCUGUCGGUUGAAUUUUGAAAUAUGAAGUUUUUCAUUUUUUGUAGAUUAAAUAAUUUGUAAAAUGUUGCAGUUUAGUCAAUCAGUUUUAUAAGAUAUUGAGCUUUAGUUAUGAUGCAGAUUGUAAGAUUCUUAAUAUCUUUCAAUAUUGUGGAUAAGUUUUUGAGAUAUCAAGCUUUGAAUUUUAUGCAAAUUGUAUGAUUUAAAAUGUUUUAAUUUGUUGAUCAGUGUACUGAAGAUUGUAUACUUUUUAUAUGUUAUAAUUCUGUCUAUUGGUUUUCAAAAUGAAAGACUUUGAUUUUGUAAGUGCACUUUUAUCUCAUUAUGCCCCCCUUCGAAGAAGAGGGGGUAUAUUGCUUUGCUCAUGUCGGUCGGUCUGUCGGUAUGUCAGUUUGUCGGUCCGUCCACCAGGUGGUUGUCAGACGAUAACUCAAGAACGCUUGGGCCUAGGAUCAUGAAACUCCAUAGGUACAUUGAUCAUGACUCGCAGAUGACCCCUAUUGAUUUUGAGGUCAAAGGUCAAGGUCACGGUGACCCAAAAUAGUAAAAUGGUUUCCGGAUGAUAACUCAAAAAUUCAUACGCCUAGGAUCAUGAAACUUCAUGGCUAGAUUGAUCAUGACUUGCAGAUGACCCCUAUUGAUUUUGAGGUCACUAGGUCAAAGGUCAAGGUCACGGUGACCCGAAAUAGUAAAAUGGUUUUCAGAUGAUAACUCAAGAACGCAUAUGCCUAGGAUCAUGAAACUUCACAGGUAGAUUGAUCAUGACUCACAGAUGACCCUUAUUGAUUUUGAGGUCACAAGGUCAAGGUCACGGUGACCCGAAAUAGUAAAAUGAUUUUCGGAUGAUAACUCAAGAACGCUUUUGCCUAGGAUCAUGACACUUCAUAGGUACAUUGAUCGUGACUCACAGAUGACCCCUAUUGAUUUUCAGGUCACUAGGUCAAAGGUCAAGGUCACAGUGACAAAAAACGUAUUCACACAAUGGCUGCCACUACAACGGACAGCCCAUAUGGGGGGCAUGCUUGUUUUACAAACAGCCCUUGUUAAAGAUUCUUUUCUAGUGUUUAGUUUAUAUUUUAAGGCUGUUUGCAAACUCGAAGUGAAAACAGCUCUAGUACAAUUUGGUAAGGACAUGACAUUGCAUAUCUGAUUUAAAAAUGUACUUUGCUGGCAACGUGUAAUUUUCAGAAAUGUCUUAGUAAGUAAGACUGUUGUUUGCAAUCAAAAGGUCUGUGCUUCAAAUCCAGGAAAAUGCAUGUUUUUUGUCCAAAUUUAUGUCAAUUCAGACAUUGUUCUGUGUAAAUAUGGGGUUUGCUUGUAGGAUCAGUCUAUUUUUAUGUCCCCCCACUAUAGUAGUGGGGGACAUGUUGUUUUUGCUCUGUCGGUCUGUUGAUUGGUUGGUUGGUCUGUUUAUGCCAACUUUAACAUUUUGCAAUAUUGAAAGUAGCAACUUGAUAUUUGGCAUGCAAAUGCAUCUCCUGAAGCUGCACAUUAUCAUUGGUGAAAGGUCAAGGUCAUCCUUCAAGGUCAGAGGUCAAAUAUAUGUGGCCCAAAUCGCUUAUUUUAUUAAUACUUUUGCAAUAUUGAAGAUAGCAACUUGAAAUUUGGCAUGCAUGUGUAUCUCAUGGAGCUGCAAAUUUUGAGUGUUGAAAGGUCAAAGUCAUCCUUCAAGGUCAGAGGUUAAAUAUAUGUGGCCCAAAUCGCUUAUUUUAUGAAUACGUUUGCACUAUUGAAGAUAGCAACUUGAUAUUUGGCAUGCAUAUGUAUCUCAUAGAGCUGCACAUUUUGAGUGGUGAAAGGUCAAGGUCAUCCUUCAAGGUCAAAUAUAUGGGUCAAAAUUGCUCAUGUUAUGUUACUUCUGCAAUAUUGAAGCUAGCAAUUUUAUAUUUGACAUGCAUGUGUAUCUCAUGGAGCUGCACAUUUUGAGUGGUGAAGGGUCAAGGUCAUCCUUCAAGGUCAAACGUUAUAUACGGGGCAUUGGGUUUCACAAACGCAUCUUGUUGUGUAUGUAAUUAAUUUUGCUUAAUUUUUGUGAUCCCCCGCCAACAGCGGAGGGAUAUUAAUUUGGCAUUGUCCGUCUUUCCGUCUGUCCGUCCGGCACUUUUGUGUCCGGAACCAUAUCUUGGAAGUGCUUUAGCAGAUUUCAUUGAAACUUGGUACGAGUAUAUAUAUAUGGAUAAGAGGAUGAUGCACGCCAAAUGGCAUUGUACAUCCUUGAUUAAUAGCGGAGUUAUGACCCUUUGUAUUUGAAAAAAAUGCUUUUUUUGUGUGUCCAGAGCCAUAACUUGUAUCCAGAAGUAUAAUGGCGGGGGAUAUCAAUUCAACGAAUUUGCUUGUUAAAUCAGUUUUUAUUUUCAUGAUAAUCAUUUAGUUCGUACUGCAACUUAUGAUGGAUUGUUACUACUAUCUCCAAUUAUUUGUUUGUCAUGGGUCCGUCACCAUUUAUCUCUUAUAUAAUACUUGAAUUGAGCAUUUCACAAUCUGACAAUCAUGCAUAUCAUUUAUUAGUUUCAUAAUAAAACGUCUGACAAGGGUCAGAUAAUUUUAA